rnacentral:rRNA from 1 species
GGGUGCAAACCGAGUGGCGUAAGGGUGAGUAAUGCAUUGAUAACCUACCUUCGGGAUGAGGAUAACAACGUUUCAAGUAAUUGAAACUACCGAAAGGGUUGCUAAUACUCAAUAAAACUGUUGUUGCUUUGGUAGCGAUAGUCAAAUAGGUGGAGUCGAAAGGCUUCAUUUGCUCAGAGAGGGGUUAAUGUCCUAUCAGCUAGUUGGUAGGGUAAUGGCCUACCAAGGCAAAGACGGGUAGCCGGCCUGAGAGGGUGGUCGGCCACACUGGGACUGAGACACUGCCCAGACUCCUACGGGAGGCUGCAGUCGAGAAUCUUUCGCAAUGCCCGAAAGGGUGACGAAGCGACGCCGCGUGCGGGAAGAAGGCCUUCGGGUUGUAAACCGCUGUCGGGAGUUAAGAAAUGUAAGGAUGUUAAUAGCAUCUUUGCUUGACUAAGGCUCCGGAGGAAGCCACGGCUAACUCUGUGCCAGCAGCCGCGGUAAUACAGAGGCGGCAAGCGUUGUUCGGAAUUAUUGGGCGUAAAGAGCACGUAGGCGGCUAUGUAAGUCGGUUGUGAAAGCCUUCCGCUCAACGGGAGAACAGCAUCCGAUACUGCAUGGCUUGAGUGCGGGAGGGGAGAGUGGAACUUCUGGUGGAGCGGUGAAAUGCGUAGAUAUCAGAAGGAACGCCGGCGGCGAAAGCGGCUCUCUGGCCCAUAACUGACGCUGAGUGUGCGAAAGCUAGGGGAGCAAACGGGG